rnacentral:rRNA from 1 species
UACGUAGGUAGCAAGCGUUGUUCGGAUUUACUGGGCGUAAAGGGUUUGUAGGCGGUUGGAUACGUGUGGUGUGAAAUCUCCCGGCUUAACUGGGAGGGUGCGCUACAAACUGUCUGACUAGAGUGUGGGAUGGGUAAGUGGAAUUCCUGGUGUAGCGGUGAAAUGCGUAGAUAUCAGGAGGAACACCGGUGGUGUAGACGGCUUACUGGACCAUAACUGACGCUGAGACACGAAAGCGUGGGUAGCAAACAGG